AACGAACGCUGGCGGCAGGCUUAACACAUGCAAGUCGAACGCCCCGCAAGGGGAGUGGCAGACGGGUGAGUAACGCGUGGGAACAUACCCUUUCCUGCGGAAUAGCUCCGGGAAACUGGAAUUAAUACCGCAUACGCCCUACGGGGGAAGGAUUUAUCGGGGAAGGAUUGGCCCGCGUUGGAUUAGCUAGUUGGUGGGGUAAAGGCCUACCAAGGCGACGAUCCAUAGCUGGUCUGAGAGGAUGAUCAGCCACAUUGGGACUGAGACACGGCCCAAACUCCUGCGGGAGGCAGCAGUGGGGAAUAUUGGACAAUGGGCGCAAGCCUGAUCCAGCCAUGCCGCGUGAGUGAUGAAGGCCUUAGGGUUGUAAAGCUCUUUCACCGAUGAAGAUAAUGACGGUAGUCGGAGAAGAAGCCCCGGCUAACUUCGUGCCAGCCGCCGCGGUAAGAC
rnacentral:rRNA from 1 species